rnacentral:SRP_RNA from 2 species
GCCAGGCGUGGUGGUGCACGCCUGUAAUUCCAGCUACUUGGGAGGCUGAGGCAGGAGAAUCACUUGAACCCGGGAGGCAGAGGUUGCAGUGAGCUAAGAUCGUGCUACUGCAUCCCAGCCUGGGUGACAGAGUGAGACUUCGUCUCAA